rnacentral:rRNA from 1 species
GUGAGGAAUAUUGCGCAAUGGGCGAAAGCCUGACGCAGCGACGCCGCGUGGGUGAGGAAGGCCUUCGGGUCGUAAAACCCUUUUGGCAGGGACGAGUGAGGACGGUACCUGUUGAAUAAGUCUCGGCUAACUACGUGCCAGCAGCCGCGGUAAAACGUAGGAGGCGAGCGUUAUCCGGAUUUACUGGGCGUAAAGCGUGCGUAGGCGGUUGGUCAAGUCAGAUGUUAAAGCCCCUGGCUCAACUGGGGGAGGUCAUUUGAUACUGGCCGGCUUGAGGAUGAGAGAGGAGAGUGGAAUUCCCGGUGUAGCGGUGGAAUGCGUAGAGAUCGGGAGGAACACCAGUGGCGAAAGCGGCUCUCUGGCUCAUUUCUGACGCUGAGUGCACGAAAGCGUGGGGAGCAAACGGGAUUAGAUACCCUAGUAGUCC